CGCCGCGUGAAGGAUGAAAUCCCUCGGGAUGUAAACUUCGCAAGAACAGGAAGAAUAAGUCGGUGUAAAUACCACCGACGAUGACGGUACUGUUUGUAAGCUCCGGCUAACUCCGUGCCAGCAGCCGCGGUAAUACUUAGGGUGCCCGCAG
rnacentral:rRNA from 1 species